rnacentral:rRNA from 1 species
CCGCCCGUCACAUCACGAAAGUGGGCUGUACUAGAAGUCGCGCAGCUAACCGCAAGGAAGCACGCGCCCAAGGUAUGGCCCAUGAUUGGGGUG